rnacentral:rRNA from 1 species
CCUACGGGAGGCAGCAGCCGCGGUAAUACAGAGGGUGCGAGCGUUAAUCGGAUUUACUGGGCGUAAAGCGUACGUAGGCGGCUUUUUAAGUCGGAUGUGAAAUCCCUGAGCUUAACUUAGGAAUUGCAUUCGAUACUGGGAAGCUAGAGUAUGGGAGAGGAUGGUAGAAUUCCAGGUGUAGCGGUGAAAUGCGUAGAGAUCUGGAGGAAUACCGAUGGCGAAGGCAGCCAUCUGGCCUAAUACUGACGCUGAGGUACGAAAGCAUGGGGAGCAAACAGGAUUAGAUACCCUGGUAGUC